AUACGGAGGGGGCAAGCGUUGUUCGGAAUUACUGGGCGUAAAGGGCGCGUAGGCGGAUUGUCAAGUCAGAGGUGAAAGCCCUGGGCUCAACCUGGGAACUGCCUUUGAAACUAACAGUCUAGAGUCCGAGAGAGGAUGGCGGAAUUCCCAGUGUAGAGGUGAAAUUCGUAGAUAUUGGGAAGAACACCAGUGGCGAAGGCGGCCAUCUGGCUCGGUACUGACGCUGAGGCGCGAAAGCGUGGGGAGCAAACAGGAUUAGAAACCCCAGUAGUCC
rnacentral:rRNA from 1 species